rnacentral:rRNA from 1 species
UACGGAGGGUGCUAGCGUUGUUCGGAAUUACUGGGCGUAAAGGGCGCGUAGGCGGCCGUUUGCGUCGGAUGUGAAAGCCCGGGGCUCAACCUCGGAACGGCAUUCGAUACGGGACGGCUGGAGACCGGGAGAGGAGAGUGGAAUAGCCAGUGUAGAGGUGAAAUUCGUAGAUAUUGGCUGGAACACCGGUGGCGAAAGCGGCGUCCUCUGGCCCGGUUCUGACGCUGAGGCGCGAAAGCGUGGGGAGCAAACAGG